ACAUAGGCUCCUGGUAAAUAAAGUGUUAACUGCCGUCUCAAUGUACAGAGAGGGCGUUCGCAUGCGAACUAACAAAAUAAAGAGUAAAUUCAAAGUUACAUUCUUAACAAGAUCGAAGUAGAGAGACGGGGAGAUAACGGCAGGAUAGGAGAAGAGAAAACGUAAUUUAUCCAAAAGCUGUGCGAUAGCCGGAGCGAGCAGAGGGAUAGGGAGAAGCGGGAUAGUAGGAGAGUGGAAAGAGAAGGAGACGAGACCUCGUAAAGAAGCGCGUUGGAAAGAGAGGAAAGGGAAUCGACUACCAACACCACGCGAUCCGAAACGCUCUCGCGGAGCUUCGUUAUCUCUAACCUUCCGGUAUUAUCGUCGUUCCAUCGGAUCUCCGUUUCUACGUUUCGUCGCUCGCGUUCAUCCUCGCCUCGACGGCCAACAAAGAAAACAACAACAACGAAGUGACCUCAAGGAAGUUACUUGAAGAAACGUUUCGUUCGCGUUGGACACAUCGAGUCGAUCGCGAGUGCUGCGUGUGUCGUGCGAGUUUAUCCAAACAGCACGGGAACGUGCGACCGUGGAAUCGAUUCCGUUUCAAACAUUAAGGAGACAGAGAGCGUUGGGAAUUCGACGAAGUUGAAAGAGUUCGAGAAGAAAAGAGUUAGAGUUAGUAAACUGAGAUUGGUUAAUUUUCUAGAAAAUUGAAACAUUUAGAAAACAAAAACGUUGGCAAUCCUUUCGCGACGAAUUUGAAAGAGUUGAGUUAAAGAAGAAAAGAGUUAGAGAAGUAAAGAGUCAACUUUGACUGUUAGUAGACUGUAAUAGGUAGAUUUUCUAGAAAAUUGAAACAUUAAGGUGACGAAAACGUUGGCAAUCCUUUCGCGACGAAUUUGACAAAGUUAAAGAAGAAAAGAGUUCGAGAAGGAAAGAGUUAGAGUUAGUAAACUGAGAUUGGUCAAUUUUCUAGAAAAUUGAAACAUUAAGGUGACGAAAAUGUUGGCAAUCCUUUCGCGACGAAUUUGAAAGAGUUAAAGAAGAAAAGAGUUAAAGAAGAAAAGAGUUAGAGAAGUAAAGAGUCAACUUUGACUGUUAGUAAACUGUAAUAGGUAGGUUUUCUAGAAAAUCGAAACAUGGAGGAGAGGAGAGCGUUGGGAAUUCCUUUGCGACGAAUUUGAAAGAGUUAAAGUAGAAAAGAG